rnacentral:rRNA from 1 species
UACGUAGGGGGCAAGCGUUGUCCGGAUUUAUUGGGCGUAAAGAGCGUGUAGGCGGUUUGGUAGGUCCGCUGUGAAAACUCGAGGCUCAACCUCGAGACGCCGGUGGAAACCAUCAGACUAGAGUCCGGAAGAGGAGAGUGGAAUUCCUGGUGUAGCGGUGAAAUGCGUAGAGAUCGGGUGGAACACCAGGGGCGAAGGCGGCAUCCUGGCUCUGUUCUGACGCUGAGGCGCGAGAGCGUGGGGAGCAAACCGG